CUGGUUGAUCCUGCCAGAGGUCACUGCUAUCGGGGUUCGAUUAAGCCAUGCGAGUCGAGAGGGUUCAGACCCUCGGCGGACUGCUCAGUAACACGUGGAUAACCUGCCCUAAGGUGGAGCAUAACCCCGGGAAACUGGGGAUAAUACUCCAUAGGUUAGAGAUACUGGAAUGUUCUUUAAUCGAAAGUUCCGGCGCCUUAGGAUGGAUCUGCGGCCGAUUAGGUAGUUGUUGGGGUAACGGCCCAACAAGCCUGUAAUCGGUACGGGUUGUGGGAGCAAGAGCCCGGAGAUGGAAUCUGAGAUACGAUUCCAGGCCCUACGGGGCGCAGCAGGCGCGAAAACUUUACAAUGCAGGAAACUGUGAUAAGGGAACCCCGAGUGCCCGUAUACGCGGGCUGUCCGGGUGUAUAAAAAGCAUCUGAAGAAAGGGCCGGGCAAGACCGGUGCCAGCCGCCGCGGUAAUACCGGCGGCUCGAGUGGUGACCACUUUUAUUGGGCUUAAAGCGUUCGUAGCUGGACUCUUAAGUCUCUUGGGAAAUCCCGCGGCUCAACCGUGGGGCGUUUAAGAGAUACUGGGAGUCUAGGAACCGGGAGAGGUAAGAGGUACUUCGGGGGUAGAAGUGAAAUUCUGUAAUCCUCGAGGGACCACCGAUGGCGAAGGCAUCUUACCAGAACGGCUUCGACAGUGAGGAACGAAAGCUGGGGGAGCGAACGGGAUUAGAUACCCCGGUAGUCCCAGCCGUAAACGAUGCGCGUUAGGUGUACUGGUGACCACGAGUCACUGGGGUGCCGAAGGGAAACCGUGAAACGUGCCGCCUGGGAAGUACGGUCGCAAGGCUGAAACUUAAAGGAAUUGGCGGGGGAGCACCAC
rnacentral:rRNA from 1 species